GGGCUCGGCUCGCUGCCACGACGUGUUCCCUGCCGCCUCUGCAUCCCCCGCGGGCCCCUCCCCACCUUUCCUGCUCUGCUCACGGCAAUUUCACCCCCAGAAUCGCGCUGGAGCUGUACCAGCCCAAGGCAGCAUGUUGUCUGUACCAUCCACAGUGAGCUCCCGAGCCUGCUGGGACAGCUCAGAUCCGGGAAAAUGGAAGUCUUCUACAAUUCGGGUGUAGACCAGCAGAUUUGUCACUCACACCAGGACCAUCAGACAGCAAUCACCAAGAGCAAGGUCUGCCUUGUGCUCAAAGGCUGCUCCAAAGACCUUAUGCUCUAAACAGAUCUUUUCAUGCUGUCAAGAGGGAGAACAAUUCAGAUAUAGCUGGAGGCUGCCCAAGUACAGGAAGAAGCACUGCUAAGUUAAAUGGUAUCUCUCUAGAAGCUUUUUG